AUUGAACGCUGGCGGAAUGCUUUACACAUGAAAGUCGAACGGCAGCAUGGACUUCGGUCUGGUGGCGAGUGGCGAACGGGUGAGUAAUGUAUCGGAACGUGCCCAGUCGUGGGGGAUAACGUAGUGAAAAUUACGCUAAUACCGCAUACGAUCUAUGGAUGAAAGCGGGGGAUCGCAAGACCUCGCGCGAUUGGAUCGGCCGAUAUCGGAUUAGGUAGUUGGUGGGGUAAAGGCCCACCAAGCCAACGAUCUGUAGCUGGUCUGAGAGGACGACCAGCCACACUGGAACUGAGACACGGUCCAGACUCCUACGGGAGGCAGCAGUGGGGAAUUUUGGACAAUGGGCGAAAGCCUGAUCCAGCCAUUCCGCGUGCAGGAUGAAGGCCCUCGGGUUGUAAACUGCUUUUGUACAGAACGAAAAGGUUUCUACUAAUACUAGGAGCUCAUGACGGUACUGUAAGAAUAAGCACCGGCUAACUACGUGCCAGCCGCCGCCGUAA
rnacentral:rRNA from 1 species